ACGCUGAAUCUCCCCGAGAACUACGUUAAGGGUAUAUGUGUCCGUGGAGUGGACAGCUAUUUGCACGUUAAUUUCACGAGCGGGCUGUUCCGUUGAUCGGAUCAACUGGGACCCUCGUCGUCCUAACCGACGGAGUUCCACGACGACCAUCCUUAUAUCAAA